AUUGAACGCUGGCGGCAGGCCUAACACAUGCAAGUCGAACGAGUGGCGGACGGGUGAGUAAUGUUUGGGAAACUGCCUGAUGGAGGGGUAUAACUACUGGAAACGGUAGCUAAUACCGCAUACCAUCAGAUGUGCCCAGAUGGGAUUAGCUUGUAGGUGGGGUAACGGCUCACCAAGGCCACGAUCCCUAGCUGGUCCGAGAGGAUGACCAGCCAAGCUGGAACUGAGACACGGUCCAGACUCCUACGGAAGGCAGCAGUGGGGAAUAUUGCACAAUGGGCGCAAGCCGGAUGCAGCCAUGCCGCGUGUAUGAAGAAGGCCUUCGGGUUGUAAAGUACUGUCAGCGGGGAGGCGUUACCCGCAGAAGAAGCACCGGCUAACUCCGUGCCAGCAGCCGCGGUAAUUC
rnacentral:rRNA from 1 species